UACGUAGGGGGCGAGCGUUGUCCGGAUUUAUUGGGCGUAAAGAGCUCGUAGGCGGUUCGAUAAGUCGGACGUGAAAUCUCCACGCUCAACGUGGAGGGGCCGUUCGAUACUGUCGUGACUCGAGUCCGGUAGGGGAGUGUGGAAUUCCCGGUGUAGCGGUGAAAUGCGUAGAUAUCGUAAGGAAGACCAGUGGCGAAGGCGGGUCUCUGGACAGUUCCUGACGCUGAGGCACGAAGGCCAGGGGAGCAAACGGG
rnacentral:rRNA from 1 species